rnacentral:rRNA from 1 species
CUACGGGGGGCUGCAGUGGGGAAUAUUGCACAAUGGGCGAAAGCCUGAUGCCGCGAUGCCGCGUGAGGGAAGAAGGUCUUCGGAUUGUAAACCUCUGUUUUCAGGGACGAUAAUGACGGUACCUGAGGAGGAAGCUCCGGCUAACUACGUGCCAGCAGCCGCGGUAAUACGUAGGGAGCGAGCGUUGUCCGGAAUUACUGGGGGUAAAGGGAGUGUAGGCGGGAAAACAAGUCAGAUGUGAAAACUAUGGGCUCAACCUGUAGACUGCAUUUGAAACUGUUUUUCUUGAGUGAAGUAGAGGUAAGCGGAAUUCCUAGUGUAGCGGUGAAAUGCGUAGAUAUUAGGAGGAACAUCAGUGGCGAAGGCGGCUUACUGGGCUUUUACUGACGCUGAGGCUCGAAAGCGUGGGGAGCAAACAGGAUUAGAUACCCGAGUAGUC